AGCGGGGUAGUCUAUGAAAACAAAACAACAACAAAAAUUUUAUGUUGACUUUACAUCUCACAAAAUUGUUAGUCUUGAUGCCUUAUAGCUAAAAUGAUUAUAGAACUAUAUAUGAUAAAUAAAAUAAAUCUAUACUAUACUAAAAGGGAGAUAAUCUCCACUUCUAGCCUGUCCACGUCAGCAAAAAUAAUCCUCCAAUCAAAACAUUUCAUUUUACAUGUCACCCUCGAAAUUGGUUUUAUUUUGGGUUUUUUCUUAACAAUUUAAACAGCCCAUUAAGCCCAAAAUGCCUCCCUUACGCUCCCCUCAAAUGCCGAACCUGCGUCUCUGUCCUCAACGCCUUUGCUCGCGUCGAUUUCGCCGCCAAGAUCUGGAUCUGCCCUUUCUGCUUCCAGCGGAACCCUUUCCCUCCUCACUACCACAUGAUCUCCGAGACCAAUCUCCCCGGCGAGCUUUGCCCUCUGUACACCACCGUUGAAUAUGCGCUUCCUUCCACUGUCGGCCAAGACGCCUCCUCCUGUGUUCGUGUUUGUUCUCGAUACGUGUAUGAUCGAGGAGGAGUUGGGGUUCGCUAAAUCUGCACUUAAGCAGGCGAUUGGGUUGCUUCCGGAGAAUGUUUUGGUGGGGUUUGUCUUUUGGGACGCAGGCUCAUGUUCAUGAGUUGGGAUUCUCGGAGAUGUCUAAAGUUUUUGUCUUUAAAGGGAAUAAAGAAGUGUCUAAGGAUCAGGUUUUGGAUCAGUUGGGGCUUUCCUCGAGGAGAGCUCCCACUUCUGGGUUUCCCAAAGGAGCGCAAAAUGGGUUCCAGAGUGCUGCUGGUGUCAACAGGUUCUUUCUGCAUGCCUCGGAUUGUGAAUACACACUGGACUUGUUCCUCCUCAGCUACUCUCAAUUAUGACGGCAUGAAGAAGAUUGACUCAAAGACACUAUCUGAGUUGAAUUUUCAUGACCUUAGUUCACCACCCAAGGGAUGUUGGCAGUAUUGAAACAGCAAAUGGAUGGUGCUGUGUCUCCUGCUCCAAGUUCUCAUCCUGCACGUGUGCGCCCUGCCAUGAUGAAAAUGCGGUUGGAGUUGCAAGGUACCGGGUAGAGAUGUUAGUUACUGAUGUAUCUGACACUGCCAUGUUCGUAGCUUUUGAUGGUGAGAUGAAAAAGUUGACCAGUGGUCCUGCUGUAGCAGCAUCCAUGAUAACAUAGCUGAAACCUGAACAAGUUGACCAGUGGUCUUGCUGCAGCAGUUUCAGCGUCCAUGGUAACAUAGCUGAUACCGUAAGUGUUGAGUUAUUGUUUCUUAAUUUAAAACCUCCUCCUCUGUAAUGUCUUUCAUCAUAUAAAGUCCUGAGAGCCUAGGAGGGCAGACCCACAUAACUAGCCCCUUCCACAAUGCUUCAUAGAUAUUGUGGGGAGGACCAUUACAUUCCAGCUUAAGCUUUCACAUUAAAAAUUCACAUCAAAGCAUCAGUCUUUCACCAUAGCUCGCAUAUUUGAUCGUAAGUCGUAACCAACGUCCCUCCCCCCCUCCCCCCCCCCCCCCCCCCCCCUCUCCUAAUUUUACUGUCUAGGUUUGCUGUCUCACUUUAAAAGCUAUCUUACUCUAUUACAUUUCUAAUUGCUCUAUUCACUAACACCUCCACAUGGUGUUGAUGACAAUCUGUGAUGAGAGGAGUUGUGAAAAAUGUCUCGCAGCAGGUGGACAGAUUGGUGUUCCUGUUAAUAGCCCAUAAGUGCGUAACAAUGGCAUUGUUGUAGGCCAUCGUGGAGAGGUUCCACAAUUGAGUGAUCUCCCGGUUGUGACUGACCCAACUUCUGAGGAGUCUCAAGCUGAUGAAGAUGGACGUUGGGCAUGCAUUGUUAAACUUGCGAGCUGACGUGUACAUGUCAUUGUUGUCUACUUCAGACGUAUCUCUACUAUCAAGUUUUUCUUAAAUUUCAUUUUCGACAUUAAUAAGUCAUACUUGAAUGCAUUGUCCUGUUUUAAAAGAUGAAUUUGUUUGUUUAAAAUUGACUUACCCAACAAGUAGUCUAUGCAUAUUUACUUUUAAAA